AGUGAACGUUGGCGGUAGGCCUAACACAUGCAAGUCGAACGGCAGCACAGUAAGAGCUUGCUCUUACGGGUGGCGAGUGGCGGACGGGUGGGGAAUACAUCGGAAUCUACUUUUUCGUGGGGGAUAACGUAGGGAAACUUACGCUAAUACCGCAUACGACCUACGGGUGAAAGCAGGGGAUCUUCGGACCUUGCGCGAUUGAAUGAGCCGAUGUCGGAUUAGCUAGUUGGCGGGGUAAAGGCCCACCAAGGCGACGAUCCGUAGCUGGUCUGAGAGGAUGAUCAGCCACACUGGAACUGAGACACGGUCCAGACUCCUACAGGAGGCAGCAGUGGGGAAUAUUGGACAAUGGGCGCAAGCCUGAUCCAGCCAUACCGCGUGGGUGAAGAAGGCCUUCGGGUUGUAAAGCCCUUUUGUUGGGAAAGAAAAGCAGCAGGUUAAUACCCCGCUGUUCUGACGGUACCCAAAGAAUAAGCACCGGCUAACUUCGUG
rnacentral:rRNA from 1 species